UCAAUUUGGCAGUGUGUACGCUAAGAUAGAAUGACACAGAUAGGAUUAGCAUGGCGCCUGUGCAAGGAUGACACGCACACUCAGAAAGCAGUCCAUAUUUGG